ensembl:lncRNA
UUGCCCUUUUAAAUAGAGCAGAUGGCGCAGGAUCCCCAGACAGCUGAGGAAAGCCUCUAAUAUGACUUGAGAUUAAUGCAACCCCUGUCUCCUCAGACCGUCUUUCCUCCAGCCACACGGACCCGGGGUCAGUCUCCGCCGAGGCGGCCAGGCCUGGUUGCGGCGACGGUGGCUGAGUAGUGGUGGAACCGGCAGCUGGGCCCUAAGCAGAUGGCGGGACGCUAGGGCCGGCCGGCUCCGCUCUGAGCACAAGCCAGGGGCGCGGGCGCGGGUAGCCGUGCUGGAAGGGCCAGCUGGCCGCGCAGCGGGUGGCGAGUUGCCCAGUCUGAGGUCCUCGGGUCUGAGCUCAGCAGCCCUCGCUCGCGCCCGAGCUGCAGCCGCGAUUUGCACGGAGCUCCGCCAGCCGGAGAGUGUCCUCAUGGGUGUUUCUCCGGGCAAGGCUUUCAGCAUCCCAAGGUUCUCUAGCUGCUCUAGCCUCAGUCCUGUGUUCCCACGUGGGAACGCAGUCUUCACACAUGACUGGCGCUAGAGUAGCUGGGACUUCAGGAUGCCUUCCUCUCUCAGGGAAUGUCCUGAAAAUUCUGCCAACUCCCACUGACGUGGGACGGGAACGCAGAACUGGUGACAAGCUGUCAUCGAUGUUUCUGACACUUGGGCCUUGCACACGCACGCUGAGAACCGCUGGCCACCUGUCGGCUGUGCGCACACGCAGUGACGGAGCUGUCAGAGGUGCGCAUGCACGGUUGGGCUUACCUGCUUUGCCUGGCGCGCCUUGGCUGCUUGGCUUCGCUUGUUAUUGGCUCUGAGUUUGGAAAUAUCGGAGUUUCCUGGUUGGAGGUGGUGGCUGCCCAGAGUGGCUUGGUCUUAUUGGGCCCCUGAGGCUUUGAUAGGUGGAAUGGUGCUGAGGUGUCUCUAAUAACCUCCGCCAUGAAAAGGAUCUCUGGUUCCCAGGACCAGAAGGGCCAGGGGCCUAGUGGCUUCUUCACCUGCUGGUGGAGGAGCAGCAGGGGUGAUGUUGCUGAGCGCGAUGACAGCACCUUCGCCCAGCGUGGAUACAACAUCCGAGGGAAACAUCUCGGCAAGCUCCACAGAGCCGCUAGCCGGGGUGACGUCUUCAGGGUGCAGCUCAUCCUUAUGCGCGGGAACGUUGACUUGGAUGAGAGAGACAAGAAGAAGAGAAGGAGCAUCAAACAAAAUGGCAUGCUUGGGAGGAGAAGCAGCAGGUGCAAAAGGUGCAACUUUGAAAAAGAAGUUACAGCCCCAGCCUGGUUUUAUUCCACAUGCAUGGAGAGAUUCUGUGAGUUUUGCAUUCUCCAGUAGAAUUGGGAUAUUGGUGCCUUUAUUUUCUUGACAUUUAUUACUAAAAGCUUUUCUCAAGACUGUUAAAAGUGAUUCAAAUGGUUAUGUAGCUUUAAACAGAAUCUUUUUUACUGCCUCACUUAUGACAUUGUUUCCUCUUCUUCCUCUACAGAUAUUGCUUCUGACAGUCCAAGGGCAAGCACACUCUUCCUGAGAAAGUAUCAAAUGCAUGGUGAGACAAUAUUGUUUCUGCCUUCAAGGAAAACCUAAAACUUUUCUGUCUUGUGUAUUACAGAAAGUAUUUAGAGAAACUCAGAUAUUAGUUAAAAAGUUCAACUUUUCGUAGCUUUCCUUGUCUUAUUUUCAUAUGUGAUAUAAUUUCCUUUAGUUGUCACUGUUUAUGGAAACAUACAGACUUUGUGUUCACACAUUUGGUGAUGUUUUUACCCACACAAUUAAUUGGCCACAUGAUUUAGUGUCAUAGUCACGGAUUUAUGCCUUUUUCUUCAUAUGUCUUUGCCAUUUUUCCCGUGCUCUAAAGAGUACAUUUUAAUAACGAGUGAUAGGAUUUAGGCCACAGCUUGAAUUUCACUCAAGCAAAUCAAAAGAAUCCAUUGUUCUAGAUUGGAUCUGUGAUGUUGGCUCCUUGUUCACAGUGCUCUAACUUCUGUCACAUCCAAGUCGAUGCUAGAACUUUUUCAUUGGAAUGUAAUAGAAAUGUAACAUGCCCUGUGCUGUUUUCCAUAUUAGCCUUAGUGUGUGAAACUAGUGUAACAUUUCCAUAUCCUGCCUGUUUUAGGAUGAGAAUUAGAAUUGUAGGAUUUUUCUGUACUGUUGCUUGUGUUUCAUAAUGUUCUGUUAUCUUACUUUAUUAAAAAAAAGCCAUACACCAUGUUUUUCAGUUAAUUUUAACAACAAGAAUACAAGAACUGGGGGUUCUAGAAUAACAUCUGAAGUAAUGCAGCACAAUAAAAAAGGGGUUGUUCACCUGCAUUUUCAUAGUUUUGUGUGGAAUUUGUCU